rnacentral:tRNA from 20 species
GCUACUGUGGCUCAGCCGGUAGAGCAGCUCACUCGUAAUGAGCAGGUCGUCCGUUCGAAUCGGAUCAGUAGCUCCA